rnacentral:rRNA from 1 species
AGGAUGAACGCUAGCUACAGGCUUAACACAUGCUAGUCGAGGGGCAGCAGGGAGAUAGCUUGCUAUCUUUGCUGGCGACCGGCGCACGGGUGAGUAACGCGUAUCCAACCUGCCCCGUACUCAGGGAUAGCCCGUUGAAAGACGGAUUAAUACCUGAUGUUCUCCUUUCCUGGCAUCUUGAUUGGAGCAAAGAUUGAUCGGUACGGGCUGGGGAUGCGUCUGAUUAGCUUGCCGGCGGGGUAACGGCCCACCGGGGCAACGAUCAGUAGGGGUUCUGAGAGGAAGGUCCCCCACAUUGGAACUGAGACACGGUCCAAACUCCUACGGGAGGCAGCAGUGAGGAAUAUUGGUCAAUGGAGGCAACUCUGAACCAGCCAAGUAGCGUGCAGGAUGACGGCCCUAUGGGUUGUAAACUGCUUUUAUGCGGGGAUAAACGAGCCUACGUGUAGGUUUUUGCAGGUACCGCAUGAAUAAGGACCGGCUAAUUCCGUGCCAGCAGCCGCGGUAAUACGGAAGGUCCGGGCGUUAUCCGGAUUUAUUGGGUUUAAAGGGAGCGUAGGCGGUCUGUUAAGCGUGUUGUGAAAUGUGGGUGCUCAACAUCUGCACUGCAGCGCGAACUGGCGGACUUGAGUUGGCAGAAAGUAUGCGGAAUUCGUGGUGUAGCGGUGAAAUGCUUAGAUAUCACGAAGAACUCCGAUUGCGAAGGCAGCAUGCUGUAGCCUGACUGACGCUGAAGCUCGAAGGUGCGGGUAUCGAACAGGAUUAGAUACCCUGGUAGUCCGCACGGUAAACGAUGGAUGCCCGCUGUUGGCGAGAUACAGUCAGCGGCCAAGCGAAAGCGUUAAGCAUCCCACCUGGGGAGUACGCCGGCAACGGUGAAACUCAAAGGAAUUGACGGGGGCCCGCACAAGCGGAGGAACAUGUGGUUUAAUUCGAUGAUACGCGAGGAACCUUACCCGGGCUUGAACUGCACAGGACUGAUACAGAGAUGUUGAUUCCCUUCGGGGCCUGUGCGGAGGUGCUGCAUGGUUGUCGUCAGCUCGUGCCGUGAGGUGUCGGCUUAAGUGCCAUAACGAGCGCAACCCCUUUCGCCAGUUGCCAUCAGGUAGUGCUGGGCCCUCUGGCGACACUGCCACCGUAAGGUGCGAGGAAGGUGGGGAUGACGUCAAAUCAGCACGGCCCUUACGUCCGGGGCUACACACGUGUUACAAUGGGUGGUACAGAGAGCCGGACGCCGGCAACGUCGUCCUAAUCCUUAAAGCCGUCCUCAGUUCGGAUUGGGGUCUGCAACCCGACCCCAUGAAGCUGGAUUCGCUAGUAAUCGCGCAUCAGCCAUGGCGCGGUGAA